rnacentral:rRNA from 1 species
GACGAACGCUGGCGGCGUGCCUAAUACAUGCAAGUCGAACGCAGUGGGGACGGGUGAGUAACACGUGGGUCACCUCCCAUCAGAGGGGAUAACACUUGGAAACAGGUGCUAAACCGAUACGGCUGGAUGGACCCGCGUUGCAUUAGCGAGUUGGUGGGGUAACGGCUCACCAAGGCCACGAUGCAUAGCCGACCACGUAGGGGUAUCGGCCACACGGUGUCGGAGACACGGUCCAGACUCCUACGGGAGGCAGCAGUAGGGAAUAUUCGGCAAUGGACUAAAGUCUGACCGAGCAACGCCGCGUGAGUGAAGAAGAUUUUCGGAUCGGAAAACUCUGGUGUUAGAGAAGCGGUAUCUAACCAGAAAGCCACGGCUAACUACGAGCCAGCCGCCGCGGUAAUUC